CUUGAACUUAUCCGCUUUGGGUGCAUACAAGUUGACCUAACCUGCCUUCCUAAACUGAGGCAACUGAUCUACGAUACUUGGUACGGCGAAACACCUCCGGUAUCUUUUGGUUGCGUUCCCCAGCUUGAUCAAGUAUGCUUGGCUUCUUCUGCCCUAUCUUGGUAGACACCAUUUGCGUUGAGCUAGUGUUUAUCUAGUAACUGCAACAUGACGGUUCUGCAUUUGAAUUGUCGCACUGAAAUGAUUUGGAUUAAACCCAAAGAUCCACUACACCUCAGGCCUAUAUUCAGCAAACUAAGAGAUGUGCAUCUGUACAAUAUCUUUGCUAAGUGUGAUCUGAUGUUUAUCCUUGAAGGUGCACCCUCUAUGGAGAACUUGUAUUUAUCUCGACAUUCAUGUAAACUCAGUAACUACGAGGCUAGUGCCAACAAGACCAACUUAGUGUGGGAAACAUCCAACUUCAAGCACUUGAACCUAAAGUUGCUGCCGAUGGAAGGGUUUGAGGAGGUAGAGAAGAUGAUGAAUUAUAUAAGGCUUGUCAUGGAACAAGCGGUCAGCUUGAAAAGAAUUGAGUUGCCAGAUAAAAUCCCAUGAAGGAAGUGCAAUGCUAUAAACCUUGAAUUGCCAAAAUUUCCAGUGGAUGAACUUAGCAAGCAACGGGUUAGGGAAAAACUCUCAUAUGGACUGUCUUCAUCUGCAGAGAUUAUAAUUGGGUGA
rnacentral:rRNA from 1 species